UCCUAGUGGCGAACGGGUGAGUAACGCGUAAGGCAACCUGCCCUCCGGACCGGGGGACAAACACGUCCGAAAAGGGGUGCUAAUACCGGAUACGAAGUCUGUGCCGCAUGGUACGGAUUUGAAAGAUGGCCUCUAUUUAUAAGCUAGUCGCCGGGGGAUGGGCCUGCGUCCGAUUAGCUGGUUGGUGGGGUAACGGCCUACCAAGGCGACGAUCGGUAGCCGGUCUGAGAGGAUGAACGGCCACAUUGGGACUGAGACACGGCCCAGACUCCUACGGGAGGCAGCAGUGGGGAAUCUUCCGCAAUGGGCGCAAGCCUGACGGAGCAACGCCGCGUUGAGUGAGGAAGUUCUUCGGAACGUAAAGCUCUGUUGUUCCUGACGAACCUCCCUUCUAUCAACAACGGAAGGGACUGACGGUAGGGAACGAGGAAGCCACGGCUAACUACGUGCCAGCCGCCGC
rnacentral:rRNA from 1 species